rnacentral:rRNA from 1 species
GACGAACGCUGGCGGCGUGCUUAACACAUGCAAGUCGAACGGUGACGAUCAAGCUUGCUUGGUCUGAUCAGUGGCGAACGGGUGAGUAACACGUGAGUAACCUGCCCCAGACUCUGGGAUAACCCCGGGAAACCGGAGCUAAUACCGGAUAUGACAUCAGCCUGCAUGGGCAUGGUGCGGAAAGUUUUUCGGUCUGGGAU